GUUCCAAAUCUAUGCAGGUAUGGUGCGUUCAAGUUAUGUCGGAUAGAUCAUAUUUACGAGUUGAACGCACAUGAACGCCACCACAAAGUCGUUAUUACGA